CCCUCUGGAGCAUCCAGAGAAGAGGCAGGCCCUAUGGAGAAUUCUACUACAAGCCCGGAUGGGGUUUUCCAUGGGAAAUGACUGAAAGCAGCCCUGUGUCACAUCAGCAAAGGGCACAGAGCUCUCUAUCACCUUGGAUGGGCUGAAGCAAAGACACCAGCAGAAAGGACAUGUGAUGCCUCAAAUCCACCACCUCCUUCCUCAUCACCAGUUGCUGGCUGCUGAUGGUGCUCUGAUUCUCAGAGACACUGCCUCAUUCUAGCUCUUCUCCCAGAUCCCAAAUUAUCUCUCAGAGCAACAUGCCUGCCUGAGGCAAGGUAACAGUCCCAUCCUGUCUGAAGACCUUUGUCCUUGUUAUACUGCAUGACA
rnacentral:lncRNA from 1 species